rnacentral:rRNA from 1 species
GACGAACGCUGGCGGCGUGCUUAACACAUGCAAGUCGAACGGAAAGGCCCUGCUUUUGUGGGGUGCUCGAGUGGCGAACGGGUGAGUAACACGUGAGUAACCUGCCCUUGACUUUGGGAUAACUUCAGGAAACUGGGGCUACUACCGGAUAGGAGCUCCUGCUGCAUGGUGGGGGUUGGAACGUUUCGGCGGUUGGGGAUGGACUCGCGGCUUAUCAGCUUGUUGGUGGGGUAGUGGCUUACCAAGGCUUUGACGGGUAGCCGGCCUGAGAGGGUGACCGGCCACAUUGGGACUAAGGUACGGCCCAGACUCCUACGGGAGGCAGCAGUGGGGAAUAUUGCACAAUGGGCGGAAGCCUGAUGCAGCAACGCCGCGUGCGGGAUGACGGCCUUCGGGUUGUAAACCGCUUUCGCCUGUGACGAAGCGUGAGUGACGGUAAUGGGUAAAGAAGCACCGGCUAACUACGUG